rnacentral:lncRNA from 1 species
AUUAAUGAAAAAGAGUUUUCAUGAGAAUCACACAUGGACUCGAGCUGAUUGAAUCUAUCAUAUGACUGAUGAUGAGAUUUGAUGAUUUAUUCAUGAUCUGCCAUCUGAUCAGAACUCAUGAUAGAGGGACUGUAUCAUGCGUUAACUACACCUAGAGGUUCAUCACCUUUUAUUCUGCUGGAUUAUCACUACAUACUGCU